AUUGAACGCUGGCGGCAUGCUUUACACAUGCAAGUCGAACGGCAGCGCGGGCUUCGGCCUGGCGGCGAGUGGCGAACGGGUGAGUAAUGCAUCGGAACGUGCCCAGUAGUGGGGGAUAGCCCGGCGAAAGCCGGAUUAAUACCGCAUACGACCUGAGGGUGAAAGCGGGGGACCGAAAGGCCUCGCGCUCUUGGAGCGGCCGAUGUCGGAUUAGCUAGCUGGUGGGGUAAAGGCUUACCAAGGCGACGAUCCGUAGCUGGUCUGAGAGGACGACCAGCCACACUGGGACUGAGACACGGCCCAGACUCCUACGGGAGGCAGCAGUGGGGAAUGUUGGACAAUGGGGGCAACCCUGAUCCAGCCAUGCCGCGUGCGGGAAGAAGGCCUUCGGGUUGUAAACCGCUUUUGUUCGGGAAGAAAUCCUCUGGGCUAAUACCCCGGGGGGAUGACGGUACCGGAAGAAUAAGCACCGGCUAACUACGUG
rnacentral:rRNA from 1 species